rnacentral:rRNA from 1 species
UACGUAGGGCGCAAGCGUUGUCCGGAAUUAUUGGGCGUAAAGAGCUCGUAGGCGGUUUGUCGCGUCUGCUGUGAAAACCUAAGGCUCAACCUUGGGCUUGCAGUGGGUACGGGGCAGACUAGAGUGCGGUAGGGGUGACUGGAAUUCCUGGUGUAGCGGUGGAAUGCGCAGAUAUCAGGAGGAACACCGAUGGCGAAGGCAGGUCACUGGGCCGCAACUGACGCUGGAGGAG